rnacentral:rRNA from 1 species
AUGUCGCCGCCCUUCCCGGCCGGCGCCGCCGCCUCAACAUGUUGCUGCUGCUCUUCUUCAACGAGUUGCUGCUGCUGCUCUUCAACAUGCGACUGCUGCUGCUCUUCUCCUCCUGGUCUGCUGCCGCCAUCAAGUUGUGCCUCCUGCUGCUGGUGGUCUUCAACGAGCUGUUGUUGCUGCUCUGCUGGAAUGGCGCCCUCCACCACCACCGGUGUUAUCCCAGUCCCACGAUGUACUGUUAUCUUCAACGGACAGAACUAUAGGGACUGGGUGCAGCAUAUGAAGCUGCACAUGAGGGGCCAGCUGGUCUGGGAGCACCUAUCUGGUGCUCUGCCUUGUCCCCUGCUGCCCACUCCUCCGGUUGAGUUGGCCUUCCCUGUUGAUGCCGAUGAAACCAAGCAACGUGAGAUGCUAGAUGCUUUUGAAGAGGCCACUGAAGAGUAUCAGAAUCAACUCCACUUGUACAAGCAAUGGACAAAUGAUGAUGCUCGAGCCUCUUCUAUCUUGGUGAACAACAUGGAUGUUGAUCUCACCAUGGAUGUGGUGGCCCUUACCACUGCAUAUCAGAUGUGGGAGCACCUUCGCCAUCGCUAUGAGUCUACAGGGGAUGCCAUGUAUCUCUCUGUUGUUCGUCAAGAGCAACAACUACAACAGGGAGAUGCUACUAUGGUGAUUUCUACAAGAUGUUGGCACUGUGGCGCCAAUUGGACUCUCUAG